AAUGAAAAGUAAUACAUGGAGAUGCCUCAUGUCAUGAAAAAGGUGGAAUGUCUGUUGCAACUUCUAUAAGAAUAGACUGUUAAAAUAUUGGAUGAAAUAAAAGGAGAUUUUUGACUGAGCUGUAUUUUGUUAGAAGAAAAAGUGUUAAUAGAACAGAUUAAUCUGUAAAGUCAGUUGGCAAAGUAAAAUGAGGGUGUUGAGGUUUCACCAUAGUUUGUGGGGGCACAACAAAGUUGUUUCUAAAAUAGAACUUAGUUAUAGUAUGCCAGUGUGGUUAGUAUAAAGUAUGCAGAGUAGAGAUACAUAAUUUGCUUGAAGUGAUGUGCUUACUGUAUUCUGCUCUUAGCUUUGUAUAUCACAUGCAGAUAGUUUGAUCAUACCACUUGUCUAUAACUUUUUUUUCAGAUUUUGAUCGUCUUGAGCUAAGAAACAAAAAGUGCUAUUAUAUAAGGAAACGUAAAAAACAAGAUGUUAGGUUUGUUUACCCUAGUUAGUAACAUGUUCAUCUCCUUAGCUUUGAGGGUCUGAUUCACCAAACUAUUUAAGCAUGUAUUUUUCUUUAAGCAUGAGUAAUUCCACAUGAGCAGUUAAUAUGCCUACUCAUAUUCUUACAAUUAAACACAUGUUUGAGGAGAUUGCUGAAUCACUCCUGAAAAGGGGAAGUUUUAAAUAAAACACUUACUGGUUAUCACUGCAUUCACAAUGCUGGUCAAGUGCAGAGAACAAACUAACACAAUAGCAUGGUGGCCAGAAGUAGACUUCUAGGAAGUGUUUACUUCUUGAGUAUGCUGCCAGAUUAAUAAACCAACGAGAAAGAAAGAUGUGUCAUUAUCAAAAGUUCUCUCUGUCAGGCCCUUAAAAAAUAAGCAUAUUAGUCUCUGUAAGUUUGAUAGUCACCUGUAUCUAUCUGUCAUGGGUGUUACUAAGGUGGCUUAGAACUACACAUCCCAUUAAAAUGGGCAUCACUGGAAAGCUAAAGAAUGUUUUCUUACUAGGGAAUUCCAGGGAAGCUGCUCACAAAGUGAUCUACAGAAGUACUGUCCAACUAGCAGCCCACAGGCUGCAUGUAGCCCCUGACACUCCUGGGCUGGGUGCUGCUCCCCUCAUAACCUCAGUAGCUACUGCUGGAGUCUUGGGGCUCCUUUCUGUGACUUCCACUCCCUGACCUGACCCCUGGGGAUGGAACCAAGGGAGUCUGCUGCCAGAUGGUCCAGGGAGAUCCAGGGACCCUGUGUGGCACAUCGUUGGACACUGGCAAGGUAGAGCAGCGUGCCUGUUCCAUGGUACAGUAGGAGAAACCCAUAUGCAUACAGGGUUCAGGGACACUGAGACCACAAAGCAUGGGGGAGGCACGUGCACCUGCAGUGCAGGGGAAGGGGGGGCGGCAUGGAACUUGGUGGGUGUUUGGUCCCCAGCCACCACGAGUUGGCUAUCCCUGGUCUACAGUUUACAUAAACAAGUUUUAUCAAAGACAACUGGAGUUCCUCAAGAUGUGUUGUCCACUCCACAUUCCACUGCAGGGAAGCAUGUGCCUCAAGGACUUGAGCUCCGAGACUUUUUGUUAUUACAAUCCCUAUAUGGUACACAUGAGCCCUGCUUCUCCUCAUACUCAGGAGGCAUAAAGAGCAGUGCAUGCCUCUCAGACCCUUUUCUCUCUAUCACUGAAUCCAAAAAGUAUUAAGGAACCAAAGAAGGGAGGAUGAAUGGUGAGAUGUGAAAUGCAUAUGUGACAAUAAAUCUUGAAAAACCUCCACGUUCUAAUAGUUAUAAGUAGGAAUGGAAAUGUAACCCACAUGCUUUAUAUAUACUUUAGCAUCUGAUAUGUUAUUGUGGGCCAAAGAAAGAAGAAACACAGGGGUAAUGAUGUGGAAUGUAGCUUGAAGUACCCCGUUGUUAGGGUAGCUUGUUAUGUUUAAUGCUUUGAAGUUGCACCUGCUUACAGUAUUGUUUAUAUUUAGCCUUAUUUAAUCAUUGCUUAAGUUUUGUCUUUAUUAACUUUUUAUUUUUAAUAUUGUGAGAAGUUUUUUGAACAUAACAUAGCAAUGGCCUUGUUACCAGCUCCAGUUACCUGAACAUGAGACUAACCAGCUGAAUCAGAGGGAUGAAAGGAUUAGAUAUAUUAAUGAAAGUUGAUAAGGGAGACCAAUGGACAAUACCCAAAGAAAGACACUGGAAAAAGGCCAAAAUAAGAGAUGUGCUUGUGAUGGGUGUGUUAGACAAAGGAAUAUGCUGGCAGGAUAAAAGAUGGGCAGCAUGCUGACCGCAGAGAGACCAAUCCAGAAGCAAGGAGUCAUCGAAGGAGUAAAGUUGAAGAAAAGCAUAAAAGGGGGGCACCUUAGCAAGGAAGUUCAGAAUAACUGAGAGAUAAGACAGAAUGUAGGCAGGGGAGACAAAAUGUAGAGUAAAGGACAAGUUUGUAGAUUUAAGGUAUAGACUGAUAUAAUAACUAUAUCA